rnacentral:rRNA from 1 species
AAACCAACAGGGAUUGCCUCAGUAGCGGCGAGUGAAGCGGCAAGAGCUCAGAUUUGAAAUCGUGUUUCGGCACGAGUUGUAAAUUGCAGGUUGGAGUCUUUGUGGAGGCGUGUGUCUAAGUCCCUUGGAACAGGGCGCCAUUGAGGGUGAGAGCCCCGUGAGACGCGCGCGGAAGCUUUAAGGCCCUUCUGACGAGUCGAGUUGUUUGGGAAUGCAGCUCUAAGUGGGUGGUAAAUUCCAUCUAAGGCUAAAUAUUGGCGAGAGACCGAUAGCGAACAAGUACUGUGAAGGAAAGAUGAAAAGCACUUUGAAAAGAGAGUGAAACAGCACGUGAAAUUGUUGAAAGGGAAGGGUAUUGGGCUCGACAUGGGAUUUGCGCACCGCUGCUCCUUGUGGGCGGCGCUCUGGGCUUUUCCUGGGCCAGCAUCGGUUUCCGCUGCAGGAGAAGGGGUGCCGGAAUGUGGCUCUUCGGAGUGUUAUAGCCGGCGCCAGAUGCUGCGUGUGGGGACCGAGGACUGCGGCUUCUGUCUCGGAUGCUGGCACAACGGCGCAAUACCGC